rnacentral:lncRNA from 1 species
ACAAUAAAUAAAUAAACUGAAUUACUAUUAAGAAUUGAACCUCAAGAAGUCAUGAACGAUGUUCCCGUAUACCAAUGGAUCAACCUAGGGUUGCUAGUUCUCCAUGAGAAUGUAGCAGCCUUUCUUUUCUAUUUUUUUGCGUGAAUAAGCCUUCCCCUGAAACCCUAGCUGUGUUUUUGCUUAAGUACUCAUAGAAAAUUGGGCUUAAAAAGCUACGGGUCGAAAAACAUAAGUUUGACCCGAAAUUACAUUAUUUUCAUAAAGUCUGGAACAUAAACGUAAAUAUUUGACUGCGUUGCACUCCGAACUGGGUUCUGGCCUUAACAUGAAAGUUGUAGCUCUUUCUCUUGUCUUUCCAACGCAUAUUCGCACAUCUCAAUCCGAUACUCGUAGCUC